AUUGAACGCUGGCGGCAGGCCUAACACAUGCAAGUCGAGCGGAUGAAUGGAGCUUGCUCCUGGAUUCAGCGGCGGACGGGUGAGUAAUGCCUAGGAAUCUGCCUGGUAGUGGGGGAUAACGUCCGGAAACGGGCGCUAAUACCGCAUACGUCCUGAUGGAGAAAGUGGGGGAUCUUCGGACCUCACGCUAUCAGAUGAGCCUAGGUCGGAUUAGCUAGUUGGUUGGGUAAAGGCCUACCAAGGCGACGAUCCGUAACUGGUCUGAGAGGAUGAUCAGUCACACUGGAACUGAGACACGGUCCAGACUCCUACGGGAGGCAGCAGUAGGGAAUCUUCGACAAUGGGCGAAAGCCUGAUGCAGCCAUGCCGCGUGUGUGAAGAAGGUCUUCGGAUUGUAAAGCUCUGUAAGUUGGGAGGAAGAAAAGUAAGAUAAUACCUGCCUGUCUUGACGUUACCAACAGAAUAAGCCCCGGCUAACUACGUG
rnacentral:rRNA from 1 species